rnacentral:rRNA from 1 species
CGGCGGACGGGUGAGUAACGCGUGGGUAACCGUGCCUCAUACAGGGGGAUAACAGUUGGAAACGGCUGCUAAUACCGCAUAAGCGCACAGUACCGCAUGGUACCGUGUGAAAAACUCCGGUGGUAUGAGAUGGACCCGCGUCUGAUUAGCUAGUUGGUGGGGUAACGGCCUACCAAGGCGACGAUCAGUAGCCGACCUGAGAGGGUGAUCGGCCACAUUGGAACUGAGACACGGUCCAA